UCACGUUGGCCACUGAAGUGGCCUAUUGCAGUUUAUGGGUUUACCACGACAUUCUACAUAAACAAAAGGAAGAUAACCUACGUUAUAGUAAUUCUAUGUAAACCACGUGCUAAUGGUUUACUAAGUGUCCAGCUAAAUGUAAAUAUUUACAUAUCCUGCUUUCAAGUCAUACUGGAGCACCACCUCAAAGGGUUUUAGUCAAACAAAUCGACCUGAGGACUUAUUCUUUCUUCGAUCACUGUUCUUCUUCCAUCUUGCACACUAGCAACCAACACCUUAACAACAACCGUUACAAUUGGUGACCACUGAUUCGAUCUUAACAAUACCGUUAAAAUUGGUGACCCUCGACUGCAACGAAGAACUAACCGUUACAUAUAUAUAUAUAUAGGAACCUGGCAGGCGUGAAGUUGAUUGGAUUUAUAACCGUUAUAUAUAUAUAUAUAUAUAUAUAUAUAUGAAUAAAUGUGUAGCGUACACUUGAGUGAAAUUCCUCUCCUCUCUAUUAUAUAUACAUACAUACGAACGUAGUAGAUAACAGCUAGCCUUUGGUUGCAUUUUAGACCUUGUUGUGUCCACUACUCUGAUUGGUUGGUAUUUGCGCAAUUUGUCUCUUGCUUUAUCGCGCGCCAAUUUGAAACCCAACCAAUUGCAGCCUUCAAAUAAGGUCACGUGUGACAGCCUGUUUUUCUACCUCAGCUGAGCCUGCAACUCCUUAUGUUUUUUGGUUCCAGACCUUUUAAGGUCUCGCCACUGACAACAUGGAUCAACAGCGCAUAUACAACCUGCGAGAACUCUUGUACCAAGUAACCCAGGCGGCAGCAUCACAGCCACAACUUCACGUACGACAUGUACCGCAACCGGCUCUGCAUCAUCACCGCACCUUCUUGAUACAGUAUUUCAACUGUCGUGUAGAAUUGACUACGAACAGGUAUUUAUCAUUCUUGUGUCUAUGAACUUACUCCUCACUUCCAUGGCUAUAGAAUCUUUCACAGUUUCUUCUUCAUCGCCAUCCUUGUAUGUUCUUAACGUGCAUACAUCUAUGCCUACAUACACACGCAUACAUCUUAUUCUUAUGACGGCCUGUCUAUUAUUCUGUAUAUAUGACGCACACAUAAUCACACAUGUUAACAUAUCAAUAAAUCUUCUCUUAAACAUUC